AUUGAACGCUAGCGGCAUGCUUAACACAUGCAAGUCGAACGGGGCAGCAAUGCCUAGUGGCGGACGGGUGAGGAAUACGUAGGAAUUUGCCCUUAAGUGGGGGAUAACCCGGGGAAACCCGGACUAAUACCGCAUGAUCUCGUGAGAGCAAAGCAGGGGACCGCAAGGCCUUGCGCUUUUGGAGAAGCCUACGUCGGAUUAGCUAGUUGGUGGGGUAAUGGCCCACCAAGGCUACGAUCCGUAACUGGUCUGAGAGGAUGAUCAGUCACACCGGAACUGAGACACGGUCCGGACUCCUACGGGAGGCAGCAGUGGGGAAUAUUGGACAAUGGGCGAAAGCCUGAUCCAGCAAUGCCGCGUGUGUGAAGAAGGCCUUCGGGUUGUAAAGCACUUUAGGCUGGAAAGAAAAAGCUUUGGCUAAUAUCCAAAGCCUUGACGGUACCAGCAGAAUAAGCACCGGCUAACUCUGUGCCAGCCGCCGCCGUAAUAC
rnacentral:rRNA from 1 species